rnacentral:rRNA from 1 species
AUCAUUACAGAGAUCGUGCCCUCACGGGUAGACCUCCCACCCUGUGUUAUUUACCUUUGUUGCUUUGGCAGGCCGCCUUCGGGCCCGCGGCUUCGGCUGGGGAGCGCCUGCCAGAGGACCAACCAACCCUAUUGUAUAUCUGUCGUCUGAGUACUAUAUAAUAAGUUAAAACUUUCAACAACGGAUCUCUUGGUUCUGGCAUCGAUGAAGAACGCAGCGAAAUGCGAUAAGUAAUGUGAAUUGCAGAAUUCAGUGAAUCAUCGAAUCUUUGAACGCACAUUGCGCCCCUUGGUAUUCCGGGGGGCAUGCCUGUUCGAGCGUCAUUUCAACCCUCAAGCUCAGCUUGGUCUUAGGCUCUGCCCGUUCAACGGCUUGCCUUAAAAGCAAUGGCGGUGCCGUCGAGCUCUACGCGUAGUAAUUCUACCCUCGCGUGUGAGCCCUCGACGUGCGCUGGCCAACAACCCCUCACUUCUUAUAGUUGACCUCGAAUCAGGUAGGGAUACCCGCUGAACUUAAGCAUAUCAAUAAGCGGAGGAA